GACAGAGGGUGCAAACGUUGUUCGGAAUUACUGGGCGUAAAGCGCGUGUAGGCGGCAGGGCAUGUCGGAUGUGAAAUCCCGUGGCUCAACCACGGAAGUGCACCCGAAACUGCCCCAGCUUGAGUCUCGGAGAGGAAGGCGGAAUGCUUGGUGUAGAGGUGAAAUUCGUAGAUAUCAAGCGGAACACCGGUGGCGAAGGCGGCCUUCUGGACGAUGACUGACGCUGAGACGCGAAAGCGUGGGGAGCAAACAGG
rnacentral:rRNA from 1 species